AGGCUAGGAAUAUGGCACAGUGGUUAAGCCACCGUGGGUUCGAUACCCUGUACAAAAAAAACCAAAAAACAAAUUCAUUUCAAGUGUACAGAACACCUAGUACUACCAAUUACAGAACAUUUUUUUGACACAUUUCUAAGGCUAAGGAUAUUUCAUGUGGUAUAUUUAUUUAAUGCCCUAUUGUAAUUGCAUGUAAGAAAAUAAACAAGUCCCAAAUGGCUUAUUUAUAUCAGUAUAAUAAGUCAGGUUGAAUUUUCAGACAAGUGAGCAAUAAGGCAAUGCUACUCAUUGAUUUAGAAUAUAUAUUAUAAAGAUUUAUAGAUUAACUUAUCUUUACCGUUCAUUGCUUUGAAGAAUGUUGACCUAUCGGCACUUCCUUAAAUUUUGAUUUUAUUUAU
rnacentral:lncRNA from 1 species